rnacentral:tRNA from 1 species
AGGGUUAUGGCUCAGUGGUAGAGCACUUGCCUAGCAAGUAUGAGGCACUGGGUUUGAUCCCUAACACCA